UCAAAUCUCAAAGCCUUUGUACUUCU
rnacentral:piRNA from 1 species